rnacentral:rRNA from 1 species
GAUGAACGCUAGCGGCAGGCCUAACACAUGCAAGUCGAGGGGCAGCACAGAAACAGCAAUGUUUUGGUGGCGACCGGCGGACGGGUGCGUAACGCGUAUGCAACCUACCUUUAACAGGGGGAUAACGGAGAGAAAUUUCCACUAAUACCCCAUAACAUCGAUCCAGGCAUAUUGAUUGGUUGAAAACUCCGGUGGUUAAAGAUGGGCAUGCGUUGAAUUAGGUAGUUGGUGAGGUAAUGGCUCACCAAGCCUACGAUACAUAGGGGGAGGGCGAGGUUAGCCCCCCACACUGGUACUGUGACACGGACCAGAAUCCUACGGGAGGCAGCAGUGAAGAAUAUUGGUCAAUGGGGGCAACCCUGAACCAGCCAUGCCGCGUGCAGGAAGACGGCUCUAUGAGUUGUAAACUGCUUUUAAACAGGGAUAAAGCACAGUAUGUAUACUGUGUUGAAGGUACUGUAAGAAUAAGGAUCGGCUAACUCCGUGCCAGCCGCCGCGGUAA